rnacentral:rRNA from 1 species
GACUUAGUGGCGGACGGGUGAGUAAUGCAUGAGCAACCUGCCCUGCAGUGGGGGACAACAGUUGGAAACGACUGCUAAUACCGCAUGAUGUAUCUGGAAGGCAUCUUCCGGAUACCAAAGAUUUAUCGCUGUGGGAUGGGCUCAUGUCUGAUUAGUUAGUUGGUGGGGUAACGGCCUACCAAGACUGCGAUCAGUAGCCGGACUGAGAGGUUGAACGGCCACAUUGGGACUGAGAUACGGCCCAGACUCC